AUUUUGCAGGGGUCCCACUUUAAUCAUGGCAUGUGCUCUGUGCUGUCUUCACAGGGUCGCAUUGCAUUUCCAGCAUGGGCCAUGGUCGACAUCCAGAGGAAAUGGCCCCACAAGAUUGGCUGAGUGUUGAUGGCACCCCACUGUGUCUCCAGUGCACUGGUUUGGUGUUGCUGCCUUGCCCGAGGGCACCUGAGGUCAAAGGGUUGAAUUGCAUUUCCAGCAUGGGCCAUGGUCAACAUCCAGAGGAAAUGGCCCUACAAGAUUAGCUGAGUGAUGAUGGCACCCAAUUGUGUCUCGAGUGAACUGGUUUGGUGUUGCUGCCUUACCCAAGGGCACCUGAUGUAAAAGGGUCGCAUUGCAUUUCCAGCAUGGGCCAUGGUCGACAUCCAGAGGAAAUGGCCCUACAAGAUUAGCUGAGUGUUGAUGGCACCCAAUUGUGUCUCCAGUGAACUGGUUUGGUGUUGCUGCCUUGCCCAAGGGCACCUGAUGUAAAAGGGUAGCAUUGCAUUUCCAGCAUGGGCCAUGGUCGACAUCCAGAGGAAAUGGCCCCACAAGAUUGGCUGAGUGUUGAUGGCACCACACUGUGUCUCCAGUGCACUGGUUUGGUGUUGCUGCCUUGCCCGAGGGCACCUGAGGUAAAAGGCAAUGUCAAUGUGCAUAUGCUGGAGCUGUCCUUGAAACGACAGUCUUAGUAGAACUGUCCAGGCUGAAGAGUCUCUCAAAGCUAGAGACACAGGUAUCAUGGAACUGUUUUUUUUUUUUUUUGGUGAUCUUAGUGUGGUUUUUCCAGAAAGUCAAGUUGCUAAGGAUGCAUUGGAAGGAGGGUUCAAUAGGCCACUAGAAAUCUUGCAAAACCAGCUUGACAUCAUUGCCCAUGGGCUUGUGAAGGAGAAAAUGGUCUUGUGGAUGCAGGCUGCUUUUGUGGCCUUAAAUGCCUUUUGUCAAUUUGGAUCGUGGCUUGGGAGAUUUCAGCCCCAAUUGUAUAUGACUCUGCAUAUAGAGUUGAUGGUUUGGUCUGAUAAUUGUUUUCUACAUGAAAGAAAUUGUCCGGUGGGUGACCAAUGUAAUUGCCAUGAGAGAGGAUCUGGUCACCAAAAAAAGAAAAUUAGGAGACAAAAGACAGAUAUACAUAUGGGGGUCAAAGUAGAACCUAGAAGUGACUAGGGGAGACAGAGAGAGAGAAAGAGAGAGAGAGUGAGAGAGAAAGAAAGAGAGAGACAGAGACAGAGAAAAAGAGAAAGAGAGUAAGAGAGAGAAAGAGAAAGAGAGAGAGAGAGAGAGCAAAAGCUAAAGCAAUUUGGAUCA